AUUGAACGCUGGCGGCAGGCCUAACACAUGCAAGUCGAGCGGAUGAAGGGAGCUUGCUCCUGGAUUCAGCGGCGGACGGGUGAGUAAUGCCUAGGAAUCUGCCUGGUAGUGGGGGAUAACGUCCGGAAACGGGCGCUAAUACCGCAUACGUCCUGAGGGAGAAAGUGGGGGAUCUUCGGACAUCACGCUAUCAGAUGAGCCUAGGUCGGAUUAGCUAGUUGGUGGGGUAAAGGCCUACCAAGGCGACGAUCCGUAACUGGUCUGAGAGGAUGAUCAGUCACACUGGAACUGAGACACGGUCCAGACUCCUACGGGAGGCAGCAGUGGGGAAUAUUGGGCAAUGGGCGAAAGCCUGAUCCAGCCAUGCCGCGUGUGUGAAGAAGGUCUUCGGAUUGUAAAGCACUUUAAGUUGGGAGGAAGGGCAGUAAGUUAAUACCUUGCUGUUUUGACGUUACCAACAGAAUAAGCACCGGCUAACUUCGUG
rnacentral:rRNA from 1 species